UAGAGUUUGAUCAUGGCUCAGGAUGAACGCUGGCGGUGUGCCUAACACAUGCAAGUCGAACGCGCAGCCUCCGGUGCUUGCAUUGGAGGUGGGCGAGUGGCGAACGGGUGCGUAACACGUGGGAACCUGCCCCGAGGUGUGGGACAACAGCUGGAAACGGCUGCUAAACCCGCAUAAGCUCGCGCAAGCGAGGAAAACCUUGGUGCCUUGGGAGGGGCCCGCGGCCUAUCAGGUAGUUGGUGAGGUAACGGCUCACCAAGCCGACGACGGGUAGGGGGCGUGAGAGCGUGGCCCCCCACACGGGAACUGAGACACGGUCCCGACGCCUACGGGCGGCAGCAGUGAGGAAUCUUGCCCAAUGGGGGAAACCCUGAGGCAGCGACACCGCGUGCGGGAUGAAGGCCUUCGGGUCGUAAACCGCUUUUCUGGGGGACGAGUAAGGACGGUACUCCAGGAAUAAGUCCCGGCUAACUACGUGCCAGCAGCCGCGGUAAAACGUAGGGGGCGAGCGUUAUCCGGAAUCACUGGGCGUAAAGGGCGUCUAGGCGGCAGCCUAAGUCCCGUGUGAAAGCUCCCGGCUCAACUGGGAGAGGGCAUGGGAGACUGGGCAGCUAGAGACUCGGAGGGGGGUGUGGAAUUCCCGGUGGAGUGGUGGAAUGCGUUGAGAUCGGGAGGAACACCAGUAGCGAAGGCGGCACCCUGGCCGAGAUCUGACGCUGAAGCGCGAGAGCGUGGGGAGCGAACGGGAUUAGAUACCCCGGUAGUCCACGCCGUAAACGAUGUCAACUGGGUGUCGGUAGUUUUACACUAUCGGUGCCGAAGCUAACGCGUUAAGUUGACCGCCUGGGGACUACGGCCGCA
rnacentral:rRNA from 1 species